rnacentral:tRNA from 1 species
GGCUCCGUGGCGCAACUGAAUAGCGCAUCAGAUUUCGGCUCUGAGGGUUGGGGGUUUGAAUCCCUCCGGGGUCACCA